rnacentral:lncRNA from 1 species
AGAUCUAAGGACAACUGCUAUAUGUGGAUUCCUCAAGAAACUAGAUAUUCAUCAAUAUGUGCUCUAGCUAAAGAAGAAGAAGUGAAACUAUGGCAUCAAAAACUGGGUCAUUUGCAUCUUAAAGGAAUUAAGAGGAUCAUAUAUGUUGAAGUUGUCAGAGGAAUCCCAAAAUUAAAGAUUGAAGAAGGAAAAGUAUGUGGUGAAUGUCAGAUUGGAA